GCCCCUGUUGCUUAGUUGUAUGAGCUCCUCGUCUACAUAUGGUAGUUGGAAUCGUGUCGAGGCAGGUGUGGGUUCAACUCCCACCAGGGGCA